rnacentral:ribozyme from 21 species
CAACAAAAAACGUACACCUUGGUUUUCAGUUGAAUUUACGAGAGAAGUUUGUUUUUUUGGUUUUGCUUUUUUUUUUUUUUGGAUUUUUUGGAUUUUUUCUUCUUUUUUCUUUUUUGU